UACGGAGGGAGCUAGCGUUGUUCGGAAAUACUGGGCGUAAAGCGCACGUAGGCGGCGCAGCAAGUCAGGGGUGAAAUCCCGGGGCUCAACCCCGGAACUGCCCUUGAAACUGCAGUGCUAGAAUCUUGGAGAGGCGAGUGGAAUUCCGAGUGUAGAGGUGAAAUUCGUAGAUAUUCGGAAGAACACCAGUGGCGAAGGCGACUCGCUGGACAAGUAUUGACGCUGAGGUGCGAAAUCGUGGGGAGCAAACAGG
rnacentral:rRNA from 1 species